rnacentral:misc_RNA from 1 species
CGGGUAGAUUCUACCAGGGGGGAUCCAUCAGGAAACACUGGAAGAUCCCUUCGGGAAGACAUUCAUAAGAAAAUAGAAAAGUGGCAGGAGCCUCCUCCUGCAAAGCAACCUAAACCACUUCCAGUUCCUGAUUCUGAACCUAAGAAAAAGAGAGGUGGUCGGCGGCUGAGAAAGAUGAAGGAAAGAUAUGCUUUGACAGACAUGAGGAAGCUUGCCAAUAGGAUGCAAUUUGGUGUGCCUGAAGAGAGCUCUUUAGGUGAUGGACUUGGGGAAGGUUAUGGAAUGCUUGGUCAAGCUGGAAGUGGCAAGCUGCGUGUAUCUGUUGGUCAGAGCAAGCUCGCUGCAAAAGUUGCAAAGAAAUUCAAGGAGAAGAAUUAUGGAAG